ACGCCGUAAACGAUGAGCACUCGCUGUCGGCAACAUAGAGUCAGCGGCUGAGCGAAAGCAUUAAGUGAUCCACCUGGGGAGUACGUCGGCAACGAUGAAACUCAAAGGAAUUGACGGGGGCCCGCACAAGCGGUGGAACAUGUGGUCUAAUUCGAUGAUACGCGAGGAACCUUACCUGGGCUUAAAUGUAACCGGACGAUUCCGGAAACGGGAUUUCCUUAACGGCUGGUUACAAGGUGCUGCAUGGCUGUCGUCAGCUCGUGCCGUGAGGUGUCGGGUUAAGUCCCAUAACGAGCGCAACCCUUAUUCUUAGUUGCCAGCGGGUAGAGCCGGGGACUCUAAGGAGACUGCCACCCUCAGGUGUGAGGAAGGUGGGGAUGAUGUCAAGUCAGCACGGCCCUUACGUCCAGGGCUACACACGUGUUACAAUGGCCGGUACAGAAGGCAGCAAACUUGAGAGAGGGCGCGAAUCCAUGAAAGCCGGUCUCAGUUCGGAUUGGAGUCUGCAACCCGACUUCAUGAAGUUGGAAUCGCUAGUAAUCGCGCAUCACCAAUGGCGCGGUGAAUACGUUCCCGGGCCUUGUACACACCGCCCGUCAAGCCAUGGAAGCCGGGGGUACUUAGAAGUCCGUAACCACAAGGAGCG
rnacentral:rRNA from 1 species